UACGGGGGGUGCGAGCGUUGUCCGGAAUCACUGGGCGUAAAGGGCGCGUAGGUGGUUUGAUAAGGGUGUGGUGAAAGUCCGGGGCUCAACCCCGGAUCUGCCGUGCCGACUGUCAAACUCGAGGACUGUAGAGGCAGACGGAAUUCCGGGUGUAGCGGUGGAAUGCGUAGAGAUCCGGAAGAACACCGGUGGCGAAGGCGGCCUGCUGGGCAGUAGCUGACACUGAGGCGCGACAGCGUGGGGAGCAAACAGG
rnacentral:rRNA from 1 species